CUAAAAAAAACCUCAAUUGCUUCGCCUUUUUACUUCGGCAUCAAUUGCCGUAGCAAUUGAGACCCUAUUGCUACAGAAAAUAUUCCGUCGCGAUUAAGCCUUCUCCUUUGCGACGGCAAAUGUUUACCGUAGUAAGUUUUUUAUCAAUUGCGACUCAAUCUCGUCUUGCCGUAGUAAGAAUUCUUUUUCCUCAAUUUUUUCUUUUGGUUUCUGAGCCUUAUUUCCCACUAACAUCGAUCUGCAGCCCCAAUUUACUCUCUCUCUCUCUCUCUCGCCCAAGCUCUGCAGCGCCUCGAACCAGAACCUGAACCGGAUCCUACCUCCGACAUCGACGAGGUCUGCACCGGAACUUACCGCCGAGAUCGACAGCUCUUCCUUACCGCCGAGACCGACAGCUCCUCCUUCACCAAACUGUAACAACAACUCUCUCACACCAACCCAACCCCAGAUACACAACAAACCUGAUCGAGAAGAUCGUUUGUUGAUGGCGAGGGACGUUGGUUUCAGGACCCUGGCGUUUUCGAUCUGGAUAAGGUAAAGGCUGUAAUUCAUCCCUCUCAGCUUCUGAUGUGGCCUCCAACGCAUGCGUAAGCCAUUCCCAAAAUUCAAAGGUGAGAGCCCGAUUCCCCUAACACCAAAACCCCAAUUCGAAUUAGGCACUGAGGAUCCAAACCUCAAUUUCAAUUCUACAAGGUAAUCAUCUCGAUUCCUCAUAGUUUUUCCACAUCAAUACACGAAUUAGGAUUUCCAAGAUUACCUUACUUAUAUGUACUUUGUUAAAUUUUGAAAUUUUGUGUUCAUAGCUACUCUGCUAGUCUUUUAUUUGGGGCGUGAAAUUGAAGAUUCCAAUGUGUUUUGCUUGAAAUUUAGGUAUUUACUAAUUUUUUUAUUAUUUCUACAAUUGGGAAAAUAGGUGUGCUGAUGUUCAUAUACUAUAUCUUGUUUGAUAAUUUCUAUUACAGUCAGUUGUAGGUACCGUCUCUUAUUAGGGUUCUGGAGACCAUGUUAGUGAUUCUUGGUUUUAUGAUAAUGUGGAUUCUUGCUUUUAUGAUAUUGUGGAUUCUUGCUUUUACUUGUUGUGAAAUUUAUACAGUAGUAGCAUACCAUGAACAUUUAUAACUUUUAUUGUUCCAAAGGUUAUAACUUUCACUAUUUUGUUGUUUAUCUAUGGGUAGUUUUGUAGGGAAAAAAAUAUAGGCACUACUGGGUUGCUUUCUUUGUAGUGGUAUUAUGGGAAUUCUGAUUCAGAGCUAUAGAUGCUAGUCUGGUGAUGCUGAUCCUCAUUAUAGGGCUUGUUUACAUCGAUGUGAAGAAACUUGAUGUGUAGCAAGAGAUGCUUUCCACAUUGCAAGCACUAAAGGAAGAACAGAGGCAAAGAGAAAUGAAAAAUAACCUAGAUCAAGCAGUGUUAUGUAAAACCAUGUACAAAUGGUCUUUUCAAUGACUUCAGUGCCUUUGGUAGAAGUUCCUUGCUGGACAAGUCUUUUCCACAGUAUGAUACUGCUGAUGCUAAGACUGAGACUGUUGCAAAAAACAAUGAGGUAAAAGACAACCCCAAAAUGAAAAUCCACUCUAGUCCAAGAAAUAAUCCGAACUCGUACUUGGCAGCAGUUACAAGAUCUGUGAAUUCAGCCCAUCUGGGACUCGUAGCUGCCAGGAAGCGUGCCUUGAUUGCAAAACCACUGAUUAUUGGUUUGAGGGUGUAGAAAUUAAUCACCAAGAGGAAAGACCUAACAAGUAUUAUGAGAAGGGUGAUGGAGGACAUAGCCUUCCCAUUUCUGAAGAAAAGUUUGUGGGAUUUCCUUAGGAGUCCCAAAAAAUUUAAAAGCCUGUUAAACUUCAUCAGAAGAAAGAGGGUUGAUACUCUUCCGAAGUUCCAAUAGUCUUUCUUGCAUUGCAAAAGGCACAUAGGUGUAGCCUGUUUAUAUUAUGUUUUCCUCCAUUUUCAGAUUAGGUCUAUUCUAAUUUGUCAAAAACACUAUGUCUAUUCUAUUAAUUCUUACUUCAUUUAUCCACAUAGAAGCGUCAUUAGACUUUAA